UUCCUUGGUGCGCCCUCAGCCUAUCCAAUAUGGUCGGUUCGUACAGGUGUUGAUGCUGACGAGACUCCAGUUUUCAUCAAUAGUAGUAGUAGUAAAACAAGGGAAGUAACGUGUGCUUGUUGUGAUAAAUUUAAAAUAUAACUACAAAAGACCGUAAAAGAAUUCAGAUCAGCACAAAAAAAUUAUUUACCUGCUACAAGAAAAGAUAAACACCCCCAAUCGGACCGUAAUGUUACUUGCAUCACAGCGAUAAUUUGAUACAAUUGGAACUAAAAAAAAUGGAAUGGGUGAAUGUGCCCUCAUCGCGUCGGAAAAGAGACAGUAAGCUAGGAGUAAACUAUGCUGUUCCAAUACCUAUCAUUGCAAACCGCUAUGAGCUACUAAAUAACCUCAACCAGCUGACAAAGACAACACAAUGAGAACACGUUAAACAGAAAAAGUGACAACGAAUUAGAGCACAAAGGAACCGAGGCCGGGACGUAUGGCAGAUGCAGAAGACAUGCAAUAACAAAUGAGACACCAGUCGACGUGCUGACCGCUGAAGUGCCGAUGUUGGACAUGGAACCUGAUGUAGGUGUAGGAGUUGCAGGGGCCCUCCAUCUGGCAGUCAGGAUUAUCUGGAGCACAAGCUUCACGUUUUGCUCAUCUCCAAGCUCAGAACUACUCCACUUUGGAUAAGACACACAUGUAUGAGCUUGCGGGAAAGAAAGAGUGAAUGCUACAGCAGUGGCGUGCAUGCAGACACAUACAAAAAUGAGAAUUCCAGAAGCUGGAGGGAGUACAGCAUGGGAGAAUAAGCAGAUUUAUCGUGUCCAGUUGAUCCUUAUUAAGUCAUCCAGUAGCUGUCAGAUCUUCUCCGCAGCAGACCUUAGGGAAGAGAGUUGCCACGGGCACAAGGAUCAACCACUUUCUUCUGUUAUGAAAUAGAGUAGGAGAUUUUGAAGGGUAAGGAAUAUCUGAGUUUUGAAUAGUUUGUCGUCUGCUCUAUUACUAAGUCUCAUCUCAUCUCUCAAGAUUGAGCCAUUCAAGUAUUGGGGAGGUGUACACGAUGGUCAGAACAAAACAAGGUAAUCAAACUCAUCUGCUGUUGAGGCCAAGACUAAUUAAGGAAUUUAAUAUAUAGCAUUGCUUUAUCUUUUUCAGAGAUGAUGAAAAGUUCACACGUCGCAAGCGCUAGAGUGGUCCGACCUCAGACUUCAAAGAGGAGGAGGGCUACAAACCAGAUGUUAAACUUGACUACACAGAUGCUGAUGGACAUGUACUCAAUGCAAAGGAGGCUUUCAGGUACCUGUCUCAUAAAUUUCAUGGAAAGGGACCUACAGGAAUAAAGCAGAGAAACGAAUGAAGAUUAAUGAACAGGAAGGAGGCAACCGUCUUGAAAACAAAACUGCAAAUUCUUCAUGAAAUACACUGGCACCAACUCUGAAAUUUAGUGUGGACUUAUAUUUUUAUUGUUUGUUACUGUCUGGAAUAUCAUCUCUAUUUUUAAGUAAGACACAGCUUGCAGCUGCUGAUAGUGCCUGUAGGUACUGGAAGGAAGGCCACAGAGUUCAUGUCACAUUCAAAUGAGUACAGAGGUUCUCCUGUGCCAGCUGUUGGCACCUGUAAGCUGAGAAGUACAAUUUCUAGUUAGCAGUUGCUUGUUUAUAGGACCUGAGUCAGAUGAACCGCCUCUGAACUAAAUCAGACAUGAAGUAAUUAUAUAUGUGACCUUUCUUGAUUGCAAUAGCGAUAUUUGUACACCCCCAUCAAUGCUGCAUUCAAGCCUGCAAAUUGGCCACUGAACACUGUGACAUGUAUCCUUCCAAAAGACGAAAGAAACCCUUGUUCAGUGAUAGGCCUGUAUGAAAAGCUGUAAAAUUAUACAAGCAACAGAAUCAGACGUACAGUCUACUGCAAAUCAUUGUAAAGCACCACUGAUAUAUUA